CUCCUGCCUCAGCCUCCUGAGUAGCUGGGAUUACAGGCACGCGCCACCACGCCCAGCUAAUUUUUUGUAUUUUUAGUAGAGACGGGGUUUCACCAUGUUGACCAGGAUGGUCUUGCUCUCUUGACCUCGUGAUCCACCCGCCUCGGCCUCCCAAAGUGCUGGGAUUACAGGCUUGAGCCACCGCGCCCGACCUACUUUCUGCUUCCUACAGUUUCUUCCAUUUGUGUUUAACUGUAUUUAGUACAGGCUUCUCUCUCUUUCUCUCUUUCUGAGGCAGAUUCUCUGUCUCCUAGGAUGGAGUGCAGUGGUGCUAUCUUGGCCCAUUUCAACCUCCACUUCCCUAGUAGCUGAGACUACAGGCAUGCACCACCACACCUGGCUAAUUUUUGUAUUUUUAGUAGAGGUGGGUUUUUGCUAUGUUGCCCAGACUGGUCUUAAACUCCUAACCACAAGUAAUCCACCAGCUUCAGGCUCCAAAGUGUUGAGAUUACAGAAGAAUCUUCUGGGGCUUCAAGGAACACUGUCUGAAAACUACUGACCCAGGGAAAACUCUUCACUGUUUAAUGAAGAUCCUCAGUCUCAGGCGAAGAAGAUAUGCUUGAGAAGAGCAUAAGGAUUCGGCACAAGAAACAGCAAAUACAAG
rnacentral:lncRNA from 13 species